rnacentral:rRNA from 1 species
UACAGAGGUCCCAAGCGUUGUUCGGAUUCAUUGGGCGUAAAGGGUGCGUAGGCGGCGCGGUAAGUCGGGUGUGAAAUCUCGGAGCUUAACUCCGAAACUGCAUUUGAUACUGCGGUGCUUGAGGACUGGAGAGGAGACUGGAAUUCACGGUGUAGCAGUGAAAUGCGUAGAGAUCGUGAGGAAGACCAGUGGCGAAGGCGGGGUCUCUGGACAGUUCCUGACACUGAG